AACGACAGAUUUUCCCAAAGUAGUCGACUGUGCUUCAACGCAGGAACAACAAACCAAUUCGACUCUUGCCAUCUUAAUUUUUUUCUCGCGCGGCAGAUCCAACAACGCCCCAGUGGAGAAUCAAUUGCGUCUCUUCACGGGACCCCAUCCUAAGUCCUAACAUCUCUUUUCAGCUCCGUACCGCCCUCAUACCUUUGCCUUCGGUUGUGACAGGCUGAAGAUUCAUCCUUUGAAGCUGCUAAUCAGUCCUUUGGGCACGAGAUUAUGCAACGUUUUCCUGCAAGGACGUCUAUUUCAUCCAGGCCGUCGAUGCAACCCUCCUUUUUUCCGGAUAAAUUCAAUUGCAGAAAAUUUGAGAAAAGGAAAAAAAAAAGGGAAAAAAUGUUUUGAAUUUAAAAAUCGGGAAGGGGCAUUUUUGGGAUAUUCUCACCACCUCCUUUCCCAUUUCCGAACAUUUUUUUUUGCUAUAUAGGUUUCUUUUGUUGAAAUAAAAGAGGAGGUUUUUUUUUUCUUUGGGGGGAUAUCUAGAAAUUGGUAGAGAUUUCUAGGGAGCGCGAUUUGGCAUUUCCCUACGAAAGUGUGAGAAUAGUUUCAAAGGAGGAAGAACACUUUUAGCUUUUCCUUGGCUAAAGAACCUCGUGUAAAAGAUUCAGGUCUAAUAGUAGAGAGUAAUACCACAAAAGGAGAUAGUGGGGGUUAUACUUCACACGAGUUUUGGUGCAUUUCCCGUUUUUGUGGGUAUUUUCCUCAUUGGGAAUCGCUGCCUUUUCAAAGCUCGUUCUGUUCCUUGUUCCCUUCCUCAUAAAAGGAAAGGUGUCCAAAACCAAAACGCACAAGGCUGUGGAUAUUUAGUGUAGAGGUGACCCACAAAGGCCAUCGAAGGACCGUAGAUGGUGACCGUCUACUGAAGGUUCAGACAUCUGGAAGAAACUUGGGGAAUUCUGACCAAGUGUGGGUCUAUGAAAGAUCGAGAGUUAGUUGAUUGAUCGACGGACCAUCAUAGUAAAUCGUUGAUCUGAUCAGAGAAUAUCCCAGUACUUGAUGUUGAAGAAAAGCUAAGUAUGAAACGAUGGAAGGUAUCGGCGGAACGUAGGUGCAUCAAUGGACCAUGCUGUUUGUCCGUCCAUUGGAUCAGAGAAGAUUCGAGUUGAAGGCUUAAAAAAGAUGCUAAUAUCUAGACUUACGGAGGCAGUGUACGGUCUGUCAUUUAAUUGACGGACCGUCUGUGGAGGUCGUCGAUUGAAACCGCAUUUUAUUGACAACCUUCAUUAUUUGAAUUCCUUUUAAUUUAGGACAAUCUUUUAAUAAAUAGGGUGUAAAACCUCAUUUUUGGGGUUGGAUUCUAUUAUUAUUUUUCUUAGUUUGUUCUUUCAACUUGGGUAUAAUUCAAUUUCCGGAUUUGGUUUACAAG